rnacentral:rRNA from 1 species
CAGCCGCCGCGGUAAUACGGAGGGCGCGAGCGUUGUCCGGAUUCACUGGGCGUAAAGCGGGUGUAGGCGGUCGGGUAAGUCGGACGUGAAAGCCCGGGGCUCAACCCCGGAAGGGCGUCCGAAACUGCUCGACUUGAGGGCGGGAGAGGGAGGUGGAAUUCCCGGUGUAGCGGUGAAAUGCGAAGAUAUCGGGAGGAACACCAGUGGCGAAGGCGGCCUCCUGGCCCGUUCCUGACGCUGAGACCCGAAAGCGGGGGGAGAAACCCGGAUAAGAUACCCGGGUAGUCCACGCCGUAAACGGUGGGCACUAGGUGUGGGGGGUUAAUCCCUCCGUGCCGAAGCUAACGCAUUAAGUGCCCCGCCUGGGGAGUACGGCCGCAAGGUUGAAACUUAAAGGAAUUGGCGGG